rnacentral:rRNA from 1 species
CCGAACCUACGGGGCGCAGCAGUAGGGCCUUUUCGUCCCUGGGCGCAAGCCUGAACGAGCGAUGCCGCGUGAGUGAAGAAGGCCUUCGAGUCGUAAAGCUCUGUUGCGGGGGAAAAAAGGCAGCAUCAGGAAAUGGGUGCUGACUGAUGGUGCCCCGCCAGAAAGUCACGGCUAACUACGUGCCAGCAGCCGCGGUAAUACGUAGGUGGCGAGCGUUAUCCGGAAUGAUUGGGCGUAAAGGGUGCGCAGGCGGUCCUGCAAGUCUGGAGUGAAACGCAUGAGCUCAACUCAUGCAUGGCUUUGGA